GCUGUCUGUCUGUUCUCAACCCCAGUCUCUAGGACUCUGAACGCUGACUGCCAAAUUUUACUACCUUUCUUGCCUGAAAAAUACUAGUGUCCAGAAGCUGGUUUCUCCAUUCCUGACAGAAGGCAAACUAAUUAGAAGUCUGGUGGAGCAAGUUUUAUGGGGAAAAUGCUUUUUUAGUUUAGCCAAGGAACUGAACCCAUCUUGAAUAAGAAGUAAAAAGUAAGAGUGUUUCCUGGGUUAGCAAAUACAUGAACUAGAAAAUCAACAUUACACCUCCCACAUGCACUGAUGGUAAUGUGGAUGCUCCCAGAAGAAUUAAAAUGUGACCCUUUGCUCUGCGGAUAUACUGCAGACCCUCCAGUAUAAUGACUGAGUAAAAUAAUGACAGUGGAUAUCUUCUGUUCCUGAUCUUGAAGGGAAUGCAUUCAGUUGUUCACCAAUGGAGUCUCCCUCUGUCACCAGGCUGGAGUGCAGUGCAAUCUUCGUCUCCUGGGUUCAAGUGACUCUCCUGCCUCGGCCUCCCUAGUAGCAGGGACUACAGGCACAUGCCACCACACCCAGCUAAUUUUUGUAUUUUUAGUGGAGAUGGGGCUUCACCAUGUUGGCCAGGCUGGUCUCGAACUCCUGACCUCAAUUGAUCCGCCCAUCUCUGCCUCCCAAAGUGCUGAGAUUAUAGGUGUAGGCCACCGUGCCUGGACACCUUUUUUUUAUACUAAUAGAACCCUCAAUUUUUAGGUGGGCAUCUGAAUGCCAACAACAAAAACUGCUUUUCCCAACCUCUCUUGAAGUUAAGUGUGGCCAUAUGAUCAUGACUUCCCCAGUGGACCGUAAGUGGAAGUGGUGUGCUCAAUUUUUGGGAAAAGCUGUUUAUGGAAAGGAGUGUACCCUGUUUCCCACCUCUUCCCUUUUCCUCCUGUAAACAUAUUUGGAGCUUAGCAGCUAUUUUGUCCUCAAGGUGGACAGAGGAACAAGAUGAAGGAGAUGGGUUUUCUGGUACCAUGAGGGCCUUCUAGGGCCGUACCCCUGACCUCUGGGCCAUGCUUACUCAAGAGAGAAACAGUCUUUGAUUUUACUUUUGCCACUGUUAUUUUGACUGUUCUAUUACUCUGAACUCAACUUAAUCCUGACUGAUAUAAACUUUAUAAUUGUUUUUGACAAAAGCAAAUCCUAUUGUGGUUCCUAUGGGACUUAUAUUACAUUUAUGUGUUAAUUUAGGGAGAAUUGACUUCCUAAUAAUUCUUUCUAUCCAAGAACCUGUUCUGUGCUUUCAUUUACUCAUGUCUUUUAAAAUAAUAUUAUAAGCAUUAAAAAAACAAAACAUAAAACUUUGUUGUUUUCUUUGUUUUCCAUAUUGUGCAUAUCAAGCAUAUACUACUCUAUAAAAUUCUAAAAUUAAUAUAAAACCAAAUAAAGCACUACAGGGCAAUGCAUAAAUGUAAGCCCAAGGUGAGCCUAAAUAAAGGAAAAUAAUCCUUCUCUAAGUUGAACUUUUUUGUCUAUUUGAAAAUUUUAUGACAUUUCUCCUUCCAUAUUUGAUUUACAGAAAGCAAGUUGACUGUUGAACACUCCAAUGUUCAUUAAAGCAGCCUUUUGAAGCAUAAUUGCUUACCAGAAAUACUUAGAAAAUCAUUUGUACUUCAUGUUUCUAUUUGGGUGCUUUAUUUCUUAAUAGAAUCUCAUCCUUGUUAUCUAAGAGUGGUGUAUAAAUUGGGGGAGCAUAUAGGCAGUAGAUGAAAUGCAAAAGCUUUCAUGAAAUAUCAGGCUUCACAGCUGAGAACACAGCUUGGUAUUUGUAACCAGAGGAGCUAGAUUUGACACUGGGAGUAAGUUGUAGAAAGGAGUAGAUGUAAGACCGUGUACAGGUCACUUACCAUCUUACCAUCUUGAAACUCCAGUUUCCCCAUGUAUAACUUGGGAAUGAUAAAAAUACUUGCUCAAAUUUUUCUUUACAAUGUUGUAAAGGUUGUUAAAGAUGAUGGGUGCAAAAAUGCUUUAUACAUUUUAAAAUCUGUUUAAGAAUGAGUGAUAUGGGUUGGCUAUUUGUUACCUCCAAAUCUUAUGUUGAAAUGUGAUUCCCAAUGUUGGAGGUGGGGACUAGUGGGAGGUGUUUGGGUCGUGGUGGCAGAUCCCUAAUGAAUGGCUUGGUGGCCUCACUUUGAUAAUGAGCCCAUACAAGACCUGGUUUUUUGAAGGAGCGUGGUGCCUCCCCCUCUCUCUUGCCCCCUCUCUCAUCAUGUGACAUGCCUGCUUCUGCUUUGCCUUCCGCUAUGAGUAAAAGCUCCCUGAGGCCUCACUAGAAGCCAAGCAGAUACUGGCACCAAGCUUCCUGUUCAGCCUGCAGAACUAUAAGCCAAUUAAACCUCUUUUCUUUAUAAAUUGCCCAGCCUCAGGUGUUUCUUCACAGCAAUGCAAGAAUGGACUAACACAGAAAACUGGUACUGAGGAGUGAGGUGUGAGAUGUUGCUAUAAAGAUACUUGAAGAUGUGGAAGUGACUGUAGAACUGAGUAAUGGGCAGAGGUUAGAAGACUUUGGAGGGCUCAGAAGAAGACAGGAAGAUAAGGAAAGUUUGGAACUUCUUAAGAGACUGGUUAAAUGAUUUUGACCAAAAUGCUAAUAGAAAUAUGGAUAGUGAAUACCAGGCUGACAAAGUCUCAGAUGGAAAUGAGGAGCUUCUUGUGAACUGGAGUAAAAGUCACCCAUGUUAUGCCCUAGCAAAGAAGGAUCGCUUUUUUGUUGCAAGUAACAGAAACCUCAAAAGAUGUUGGCAUAAACAUGAGGGAAUAAAUUAGGUCAUAAACAGUGUGUACAGAGGUUAGACAGGAUUCAGGCUUGGUUGAUUCAGGAUCCAGGUUCUUUGCACCUCCCUUCAAUGCUGGUUUCUUUCUCAGGUAGGUAGCAAGAUGGCUGCAGCAGAUCCAGCACUCACCUCCAGACAGGGCAAUGUUCAGGAGAAAGAGAAAAUGCGUUGUUAACACUCUGCUUUAGGAACAAGACACUUUGCCCAAAACCCCUCAUCUGUCCUGAAGAACUCUAACCACACCUUACUGGGCAGACCUAAAUUGCAUAUGCAUUCCCGAAAUCACUGUGAAUGUCGAUGAGAUAUGUCAACCUGGCCCAUCUUCAGAACUGGAGAUGCCUCAUUCCCCCAAGGCAAUGGUGGUUUUUGAGAGAAGUGGAUACCUGGACAAACCCGGAGUUUGUUGAGUGUAUCAGAGGCGAUUAGUGACCUGCCCUUAUUGUCUUGUUGUGCACUGUUUCUGGUGCACACUGGUAACUUCCUACUGCAAGUAUCUGUGACUCUCUUUCUGAGGAAUUUCUCUGGCUAUGGGAGCUUGCAUGGUCUGCUUGGAGUAGGCUGAAAAGUGCUGAGGAAUUAAUGUUCCUGGAAGGAGCCCUCAGUUGGUGAUAGAUGAGAACUGAAGGACAGUACCGCAGCUUCCUUGUCCCUUGGUGGAAAAACUCUAAGUUAUGUUCUACUCCAUUUCACACAGGUUCCCAGUGGUAUGGAGUUCCAGUUGCCCACAGAGAUGAUUUGCUCAUUAAUAUAGUCUGUGUUGGCUUCUUUUCUUUCCUGGAUCACUUCCUCACACGCUUACCAGUAUUUCCUGGUAUCACCUCUCAACCAAACAACUUGUACCCAAGUCCUUGCUGGAGGGUCUGCUACUGAGGGAGCUCAACCAAAGUUGGUAGGAGGAAGAAGGGGGAAAGAGUUCUGUGUAGGAAAUGAACAGUGUCCUCUACUGGCACAUGUCCUCUACUGGCACAUUCAGGAGCCACUUGUAAAACUUCCCAGGGUUUGUAUUUAUCGGUCUGCCAACUACAGCCUCCCAAAAUGAAUCCAAAACUAAGAUUGAGCCUCAACAUUCCCAAACAUAUUUAUAAACCUGAAAACUUUCUGAUGAAAUGCAAAAUUGUAGGCUUUCUGCAAACUUGAUGCAUGUAAUUAGUAGACAUAAAGUCUUCUGAAUAAACUUAUGAGGCUUUAUUUAGCUAGAAUGUGUCAGAUUGAACAUUUUAAAAUACAUGUUUUCUUUCCAGUAUACCUGUCUUUCCCCGCAGAUGUUGAUUUCUUGAGGAUUUUGGUUAUUUGAAAUUUGGAUUGUUUUCCUAAAUCUGCUUUGUAGAGAUGUGGGAGAUUAUUUAGUGUGGAAUAAUAUAUUUUUUGAAAAUUUAUUUAUUCGCAUAAAGUCUUUAGCUCAUUAGUUUAUAAUAUUCUUGGAGUUAUUAUUUUAAAACUUGUGGUUCAAAGGGGAUAUAACAACUAGAUGGAUAGGAAAAAUUGAAAGCUUGAUUUUUCCUCAGCUAAAAUUGGAAACCAGAACUUUAUCACUCCUAUUUUUACAGAUGCCAUGUGGCGGGAACCUUGGCCAACUGGGAUGUGGGUGGCUGAGUCUUUCUUCAGCUUCUUACUGGAAACUGUGGCGUUUUCUUGACAGCAGUAAUAAAUCAGACAUCCACAGGAAGCAAAGAGAUCAUUGAAAUGAAACAUAAGCUGUAAAAUGUUCUGCCUCAUAUUAUGACAGCCCUUUCCUUGGUGGGCUCUCUCUUUGGACCCAUUAGAGAAACAGAUCUCCAAUUUACAGGAGGAUGCAUAAAUUGGAGAUGUAAAAAUUACUAGAUUUUAUGGAAAUAUUGAUUUGUUCACAGUGCACACAGGUCUAAGUUAACUUAAAGAGCACAUCCCAUAAACUCUAUUAAGCCUAACUUGUCUUAGGCUAUUACAAAUCUGUGUAUUGUUGGACUUUCUGAAUUUAUAUUUUUGACUUUCUUUAAUGUGAGCAUCCUUCAACAGGUAUCAUAAACAUUCAAAAGGGAUUUACUGUAGUCAUAGGAACAAAAUGACUAUUCUGAGAAUUUCAUUCUGGCAAACUGAAUGAUGUACUGCUAGUUAUAUAUGUCUAUUGAACCAUGACUCUUUCCAUAGGAAAACUCUGAGAUUACUAUCAUCAGAGUCACCAUAUCCAUAACCAACUGAAUGCUUCUGAUGUAUUUUAAUCUGGUUUUGUUGAUAGUGAUAAAACACUGGCUUGGCUCUAUUUGGACUGAGUAAUUUAAAAAUAUUUUACAUUGAUGAAAUCAUAUUUUAAUAAUAAAGUUAAUUAAAUAUAUUGACUUUUUCCCAAGUUUAGAGGCAGCAACUAUUUCACAAAGAGGAAAAAAUGUUGUCAAUACUUACAUAAGAUUAUUUAAUUUCAGUUGAUUCUUGUACGAAGAACUAUAGAAAUAGUUGAUCUUUCUUCUUUUUUCGAAUUAAAAUGAGCAGCCUCUGAUUUUCCCUCCAUUCCUCUCAGGGCCAUCUCAACCAGCUUGUUGAAACCAGAAUGCACUUGAGGAGGCCAAAUAUAUUUCAGAAGGCUUAUUUCCUCAAUAAAAAAGUUUUCUCC
rnacentral:lncRNA from 1 species